rnacentral:rRNA from 1 species
UGGGGAAUUUUGGACAAUGGGCGAAAGCCUGAUCCAGCAAUGCCGCGUGUGUGAAGAAGGCCUUCGGGUUGUAAAGCACUUUUGUCCGGAAAGAAAUCCUUGGCUCUAAUACAGUCGGGGGAUGACGGUACCGGAAGAAUAAGCACCGGCUAACUACGUGCCAGCAGCCGCGGUAAUACGUAGGGUGCAAGCGUUAAUCGGAAUUACUGGGCGUAAAGCGUGCGCAGGCGGUUUGCUAAGACCGAUGUGAAAUCCCCGGGCUCAACCUGGGAACUGCAUUGGUGACUGGCAGGCUAGAGUAUGGCAGAGGGGGGUAGAAUUCCACGUGUAGCAGUGAAAUGCGUAGAGAUGUGGAGGAAUACCGAUGGCGAAGGCAGCCCCCUGGGCCAAUACUGACGCUCAUGCACGAAAGCGUGGGGGAGCAAACAGGAUUAGAUACCCUGGUAGUCCACGCCCUAAACGAUGUCAACUAGUUGUUGGGGAUUCAUUUCCUUAGUAACGUAGCUAACGCGUGAAGUUGACCGCCUGGGGAGUACGGUCGCAAGAUUAAAACUCAAAUGAAUUGACGGGGUCAU